GCUGGGCGUGGUGGCGGGCGCCUGUAGUCCAAGCUACCGGGGGGCUGAGGUGGAAGGAUUGCUUGAGCCCAGGAGGCAGAGAUUGCAGUGAGCUGAGAUCACACCACUGCACUCCAGCCUGGGCAGCAGAGCAAGAUUCUGUCUCGA
rnacentral:SRP_RNA from 1 species